UACGUAGGGGGCAAGCGUUGGCCGGAAUCAUUGGGCGUAAAGAGCGUGUAGGCGGCCCGAUAAGUCCGCUGUGAAAGUCCAGGGCUCAACCCUGGAAUGCCGGUGGAUACUGUCGGGCUCGAAUCCGGAAGAGGUGAGUGGAAUUCCUGGUGUAGCGGUGAAAUGCGCAGAUAUCAGGAGGAACACCAAUGGCGAAGGCAGCUCACUGGGACGGUAUUGACGCUGAGACGCGAAAGCGUGGGGGGCAAACAGG
rnacentral:rRNA from 1 species